CUGGAGUUACUAGUAAUCGCAGAUCAGAAUGCUGCGGUGAAUGCGUUCCCGGGUCUUGUACACACCGCCCGUCACACCACGGGAGGUGGAGACGCCCGAAGCCGAUUAUCUAACCUUUUGGAAGAAGGCGUCGAAGGUGGAAUCAAUAACUGGGGUGAAGUCGUAACAAGGUAGCCGUAUCGGAAGGUGCGGCUGGAUCACCUCCUUUCUAAG
rnacentral:rRNA from 1 species